rnacentral:snoRNA from 1 species
GUGGCUGUGUUUCUGCCUUGUUGCUUUGUAAGUGGUAUAACGUAACCAUAUCCAGGCACAUAGAUUAAAACAGGAUCCUGCCAACAGCGUCUGUCCAGUUAUCAGACUUACUGUGCAAUGGUUCCAUAAAUG